GCGUAAAUUGCCCGAAUCCUGACACAGGGAGGUAGUGACAAGAAAUAACAAUACAGGGCUACUUCUAGUCUUGUAAUUGGAAUGAGUACAACUUACAUCUCUUCACGAGGAUCAAUUGGAGGGCAAGUCUGGUGCCAGCAGCCGCGGUAAUUCCAGCUCCAAUAGCGUAUAUUAAAGUUGUUGCAGUUAAAAAGCUCGUAGUCGGAUUUCGGGGCGGGCCGAGCGGUCUGCCGAUGGGUAUGCACUGUUCGGCGCGUCCUUCUUUCCGGAGACUAGUUCUACUCUUAACUGAGCGGGACUGGGAGACGGAUCGUUUACUUUGAAAAAAUCAGAGUGUUUCAAGCAGGCAGCUCGCUCUUGCAUGGAUUAGCAUGGGAUAAUGAAAUAGGACUCUGGUGCUAUUUUGUUGGUUUCGAACACCGGAGUAAUGAUUAACAGGGACAGUCAGGGGCAC
rnacentral:rRNA from 1 species